CCAGACUCCUACGGGAGGCAGCAGUGAGGAAUAUUGGUCAAUGGGCGAGAGCCUGAACCAGCCAAGUCGCGUGAAGGAUGACGGCCCUACGGGUUGUAAACUUCUUUUGUCAGGGAGCAAUUGGGUCCACGCGUGGGCUUAGCGAGAGUACCUGAAGAAAAAGCAUCGGCUAACUCCGUGCCAGCAGCCGCGGUAAUACGGAGGAUGCGAGCGUUAUCCGGAUUUAUUGGGUUUAAAGGGUGCGCAGGCGGCGAGUUAAGUCAGCGGUAAAAUUUCAGGGCUCACCCCCGGCGAGCCGUUGAAACUGGCUUGCUAGAGUGGGCGAGAAGUAUGCGGAAUGCGUGGUGUAGCGGUGAAAUGCAUAGAUAUCACGCAGAACUCCGAUUGCGAAGGCAGCGUACCGGCGCCCAACUGACGCUCAUGCACGAAAGCGUGGGUAUCGAACAGGAUUAGAUACCCCAGUA
rnacentral:rRNA from 1 species